rnacentral:rRNA from 1 species
AUGGAUCCCGGCAGCGAACAUUUGGAUAGGGUGCUCCUUGCUAUGAAUUCCACCACCAUUACCACCCUAAACCACAGCUUCGACAGCGGAGGCAAGCCGCGUAUCCAGAAGGUCCCGGCCUUCCUCCGUAGCAUCCAGAACGCCGACCGGCUCUACUCUCCGGACAUCAUCGCCAUCGGCCCGUGCCACCGCGGCAAGGAGCAACUGCAAGGCAUGGAGGACAUCAAGAAGAUGGCUGCGAUGGAAUUCUGCUGCACCACUCAGCACCAGAUCCGGGCUUUCUACCGUAAUGUCCGGGAGGUGGUCGUCCAAGCCCGGGAGUCCUACGCCGAAGAUCUCAGCGCCUACAACGACGACCAGUUCACGGAGAUGAUGUUCUACGACGGCUGCUUCCUCCUCCAGUUCAUGACGAUGGUGGCGCUGGACCGCGGCCCGCCGCUCCAGUGGAAGAUGCCCAAGCUCAGCGAGAACUGGGUGCGGCGCAUCUCGCGCGACAUCCUGCUCGUGGAGAACCAGGUCCCGUGGGUGGUGCUGGAGGCCCUGAUGCGGCUCAAGCACGUCCUCGUCGACCGCUACAUCGCGGACGCCAUCCGCAACUUCGACGUGCAGUGGGCGAAGCCGCAGAUGGACUUCGAGGGCGCCGACAAGUACAAGCCGUUCCACCUCCUCGACCUGGUCCGCCACCGCCAGCUCGGCCCCUUGACCAAAGCCAAGCUGGACGAGGCCCCGAGGCCGAUGCUCAACAUCUGCUCCGCCCUGGAGCUCGCCGAGGUCGGCAUCAAGCUCAGCGCCAGCAAGACGGCGCGGUUCGGCGACAUCGGCGUGGGCAAGAGCCCCAUCUUCGGGAAGCUCCGGCUCCCGCCGGUGUACCUCGGCGAGCUCACCAUGUGCUGGCUGACCAACAUGGCGGCGUUCGAGAUGCUGCAGGGCGGGACGUCGGACUACGGCGUCAGCUCGUACGUGCAGAUCAUGUCGGUGCUCAUGAACCGCGAGGACGACGUGCGGGAGCUCCGCACCAAGCGCAUUCUGUACCCGGUGCUCAGCGACCUGGAGACGCUCAACUUCUUCAAGUCCAUCUCCCCGUUUCUGCCGUAUGGGAGCCAGUAUUUCCGCAUCCUGCAGCAGCUCAGCGAUUACCACCAGGACCGGAAGGCGAGGGUCACUCUGCACAAGCUCUUGUACAACAACCUCAAGUACAUCCUUACGGCCGGUUCCGCCCUCGGCUUUCUCAUUCCUAUCCUUAGAGGCAUCCUCACCCUCCAACAGAACAAGCCCAGCGCGGCCUAA